rnacentral:rRNA from 1 species
ACUGUAGCAAUACAGUUGAUGGCGACCGGCAAACGGGUGCGGAACACGUACAGAACCUUCCUUCGAGCGGGGAAUAGCCCAGAGAAAUUUGGAUUAAUACCCCAUAGUAUUACGGAGUGGCAUCACUUUGUWAUUAAAGAUUUAUCACUUGAAGAUGGCUGUGCGGCUGAUUAGGUAGUUGGCGGGGUAACGGCCCACCAAGCCUACGAUCAGUAACUGGUGUGAGAGCACGACCAGUCACACGGGCACUGAGACACGGGCCCGACUCCUACGGGAGGCAGCAGUAAGGAAUAUUGGUCAAUGGACGARAGUCUGAACCAGCCAUGCCGCGUGGAGGAUGAAGGCCCUCUGGGUUGUAAACUUCUUUUAUAUGGGACGAAAAAGGGCCUUUCUAGGUCAACUGACGGUACCAUUUGAAUAAGCACCGGCUAACUCCGUGCCAGCAGCCGCGGUAAUACGGAGGGUGCAAGCGUUAUCCGGAUUCACUGGGUUUAAAGGGUGCGUAGGUGGGUUGGUAAGUCAGUGGUGAAAUCUCCGAGCUUAACUUGGRAACUGCCAUUGAUACUAUYARUCUUGAAUAYYGUGGAGGUCAGCGGAAUAUGUCAUGUAGCGGUGAAAUGCUUAGAGAUGACAUAGAACACCAAUUGCGAAGGCAGCUGGCUACACRWAUAUUGACACUGAGGCACGAAAGCGUGGGGAUCAACAGGAUUAGAUACCCUGGUAGUCCAC